UCCUCAGUAGCUCAAUGGUAGAGCAUCCGGCUGUUAACCGGAGGGUUGCUGGUUCGAGUCCAGCCUGAGGAGCCA
rnacentral:tRNA from 3 species